UUGGUUAAGUUAGAAAGGGCGCACGGUGGAUGCCUUGGCACUAGGAGCCGAAGAAGGACGGGACUAACACCGAUAUGCUUUGGGGAGCUGUACGUAAGCGUUGAUCCAGAGAUUUCCGAAUGGGGGAACCCACUAUCUUUAGUCGGAUAGUAUCCUUACGUGAAUACAUAGCGUAAGGAAGGCAGACCCAGGGAACUGAAACAUCUAAGUACCUGGAGGAAGAGAAAGAAAAAUCGAUUUCCUGAGUAGCGGCGAGCGAAACGGAAAGAGCCCAAACCAAGAAGCUUGCUUCUUGGGGUUGUAGGACACUCUAUACGGAGUUACAAAAGAAAGUUAUAAAUGAAGCGGUCUGGAAAGGCCCGCCAAAGACGGUAACAGCCCGGUAGUUGAAAUGGCUUUCCCUCCAGAGUGGAUCCUGAGUACGGCGGAACACGUGAAAUUCCGUCGGAAUCCGGGAGGACCAUCUCCCAAGGCUAAAUACUCCCUAGUGACCGAUAGUGAACCAGUACCGUGAGGGAAAGGUGAAAAGCACCCCGGAAGGGGAGUGAAACAGUUCCUGAAACCGUGUGCCUACAAGUAGUUAGAGCCCGUUAAUGGGUGAUAGCGUGCCUUUUGUAGAAUGAACCGGCGAGUUACGAUUUGUUGCAAGGUUAAGCGGAAAAAGCGGAGCCGUAGCGAAAGCGAGUCUGAAUAGGGCGCAUAAGUAACAGGUCGUAGACCCGAAACCAGGUGAUCUACCCAUGUCCAGGAUGAAGGUAAGGUAAUACUUACUGGAGGUCCGAACCCACGCACGUUGAAAAGUGCGGGGAUGAGGUGUGGGUAGCGGAGAAAUUCCAAUCGAACUUGGAGAUAGCUGGUUCUCUCCGAAAUAGCUUUAGGGCUAGCCUCGAGGUAAAGAGUCAUGGAGGUAGAGCACUGUUUGGACUAGGGGCCCUUCUCGGGUUACCGAAUUCAGAUAAACUCCGAAUGCCAUGUACUUAUACUCGGGAGUCAGACUGCGAGUGAUAAGAUCCGUAGUCGAAAGGGAAACAGCCCAGACCACCAGUUAAGGUCCCCAAAUAUAUGUUAAGUGGAAAAGGAUGUGGGGUUGCUUAGACAACCAGGAUGUUGGCUUAGAAGCAGCCACCAUUGAAAGAGUGCGUAAUAGCUCACUGGUCGAGUGACCCCGCGCCGAAAAUGUACCGGGGCUAAACAUAUUACCGAAACUGUGGAUGAACCUCUUCGGAGGUUCGUGGUAGGAGAGCGUUCUAAGGGCGGUGAAGUCAGACCGGAAGGACUGGUGGAGCGCUUAGAAGUGAGAAUGCCGGUAUGAGUAGCGAAAGAAGGGUGAGAAUCCCUUCCACC
rnacentral:rRNA from 1 species